rnacentral:rRNA from 1 species
CGGCCGGCGCACGGGUGAGUAACACGUAUGCAACCUGGCCGUCACAGGUGGAUAACCGGAAGAAAUUCCGACUAAUACAGCAUAACACUCCUGAGGGACAUCCCUUGGGAGUCAAAGGAGGCAACUCCGGUGACGGAUGGGCAUGCGGCGCAUUAGGUAGUUGGUAGGGUAACGGCCUACCAAGCCGACGAUGCGUAGGGGUUCUGAGAGGAAGGUCCCCCACAUUGGAACUGAGACACGGUCCAAACUCCUACGGAAGGCAGCAG